rnacentral:rRNA from 1 species
AAGUCCCGUAACGAGCGCAACCCUUAUCCCUAGUUGCCAUCGGGUCAAGCCGGGCACUCUAGUGAAACCGCCCCGGAUAACGGGGAGGAAGGUGGGGAUGACGUCAAGUCCUCAUGGCCUUUAUGUCCAGGGCUACACACGUGCUACAAUGACCGGUACAAACCGUCGCAAACCCGCGAGGGGGAGCUAAUCGGAAAAAGCCGGCCCCAGUUCGGAUUGCAGUCUGCAACUCGACUGCAUGAAGCUGGAAUCGCUAGUAAUCGCAGAUCAGCACGCUGCGGUGAAUACGUUCCCGGGCCUUGUACACACCGCCCGU